rnacentral:rRNA from 1 species
GACGAACGCUGGCGGCGUGCUUAACACAUGCAAGUCGAGCGGUAAGGCCCUUCGGGUACACGAGCGGCGAACGGGUGAGUAACACGUGGGUGACCUGCCCUUAGCUCUGGGAUAAGCCUGGGAAACUGGGUCUAAUACCGGAUAUGACCUCAUGACGCAUGUUGUGGGGUGGAAAGCCUUGUGCGGCUAGGGAUGGGCCCGCGGCCUAUCAGCUUGUUGGUGGGGUGAUGGCCACCAAGGCGACGACGGUAGCCGGCCUGAGAGGCGACCGGCCACACUGGGACUNAGGGACACGGCCCAGACUCCUACGGGAGGCAGCAGUGGGAAUCUUGCGCAAUGGGCGAAAGCCUGACGCAGCGACGCCGCGUGGAGGAUGAAGCCCUUUGGGCGUAAACUCCUUUCGACAAGACGAUAAUGACGGUACUGGUGGAAGAAGCACCGGCUAACUCUGUGCCAGCAGCCGCAGU